rnacentral:lncRNA from 1 species
GGGCAGACACCAUUUGAGCUAGCCACAGGCCAACAACCCCAAACUCCACAUUCAUUACCAGCCGCGUCCGAGGGAAAGAGUUUGGGGGCUUAUCAUAUGGCCAAAGGAUGGGAAGAGCAGCUCGACACUGCUAAGUCCUACUUGGAUAAGGCAGCUAAGAAGAUGAAGAAGUUUGCUAACCGCAAGCGGUGUCCCACAGACUAUAGAGUUGGGGACAUGGUCAUGGUAAAGUUUAACCCAAGACAGUUCAAGGCAUUACGGGGCAUGCAUCAGAAUCUAAUUCGCUUUAGGGUUUUAAACCCUAAUACUGAAAUUUUCCCUUUUAAUCAGCAUUAUGGUUUUAAACCCUAAACUGAAUUUUCCUUUUAGUCAGCAUUAGGGUUUUAAACCCUAAACUGAGUUUUUCCUUUCAGCCAGCAUUAGGGUUUUAAACCCUAAACUGAGCUUUUCCAUGCAAUCAGCAUUAGGGUUUUAAACACAAAACUGAAUUUUCCUUUUAGUCAGCAUUAGGGUUUUAAACCCUAAACUGAACUUUUUCCUUUCAGCCAGCAUUAGGGUUUUAAACCCUAAACUGAGCUUUUCCAUGCAGCCAGCAUUAGGGUUUUAAACCCUAAACUGAAUUUUUCCUUUUAGUCAGCAUUAGGGUUUUAAACCCUAAACUGAACUUUUUCCUUUAGCCAGCAUUAGGGUUUUAAACCCUAAACUGAGCUUUUGCUUCCAGUCAGCAUUAGGGUUUCUAAACCCUAAACUGAGCUUUUCCAUAAAUCAGCAUUAGGGUUUUAAACCCUAAACUGAACCUUUUUCUUUAGUCAGCAUUAGGGUUUUAAACCCUAAACUGAAUUCUUCCCUUUAAUCAGCAUUAGGGUUUUAAGCCCUAAACUGAACUUUUUCCCUUUCAGCCAGCAUUAGGGUUUUAAACUCUAAACUGAGCUUUUCUAUGCAAUCAGCAUUAGGGUUUUAAACCCUAAACUGAAUUUUCCUUUUAGUCAGCAUUAGGGUUUUAAACCCUAAACUGAACUUUUUCCUUUUCAGCCAGCAUUAGGGUUUUAAACUCUAAACUGAGCUUUUCCAUGCAAUCAGCAUUAGGGUUUUAAACCCUAAACUGAAUUUUCCUUUUAGUCAGCAUUAGGGUUUUAAACCCUAAACUGAACUUUUUCCUUUCAGCCAGCAUUAGGGUUUUAAACUCUAAACUGAGCUUUUCCAUGCAAUCAGUAUUAGGGUUUUAAACCCUAAACUGAAUUUUCCUUUUAGUCAGCAUUAGGGUUUUAAACCCUAAACUGAACUUUUUCCUUUUCAGCCAGCAUUAGGGUUUUAAACCCUAAACUGAGCUUUUUUCAUGCAAUCAGCAUUAGGGUUUUAAACCCUAAACUGAACUUUUUCCUUUCAGCCAGCAUUAGGGUUUUAAACCCUAGACUGAGCUUUUCCAUGCAAUCAGCAUUAGGGUUUUAAACCCUAAACUGAGUUUCCCUUUUAGUCAGCAUUAGGGUUUUAAACCCUAAACUGAACUUUUUCCUUUCAGCCAGCAUUAGGGUUUUAAACUCUAAACUGAGCUUUUUCUAUGCAAUCAGCAUUAGGGUUUUAAAUCCCAAACUGAAUUUUCCUUUUAGUCAGCAUUAGGGUUUUAAACCCUAAACUGAACUUUUUCCUUUUCAGCCAGCAUUAGGGUUUUAAGCUCUAAACUGAGCUUUUUCUAUGCAAUCAGCAUUAGGGUUUUAAACCCUAAACUGAAUUUUCCUUUUAAUCAGCAUUAGGGUUUUAAACCCUAAACUAAACUUUUUCCCUUUCAGCCAGCAUUAGGGUUUUAAACUCUAAACUGAGCUUUCCUAUGCAAUCAGCAUUAGGGUUUUAAACCCUAAACUGAACUUUUUCCUUCCAGCCAGCAUUAGGGUUUUAAACCCUAAACUGAGCUUUUCCAUGCAAUCAGUAUUAGGGUUCUAAAACCCUAAACUGAAUUUUCCUUUUAGUCAGCAUUAGGGUUUUAAACCCUAAACUAAACUUUUUCCUUCCAGCCAGCAUUAGGGUUUUAAACCCUAAACUGAGCUUUCCCAUUCAAUCAACAUUAGGGUUUUAAACCCUAAACUGAACUUUUUCCUUUAAUCAGCAUUAGGGUUUUAAACCCUAAACUGAAUU